UGGCUGCCAUUUUCUCUUUCCCCGGUUUUCCUCUCAACCUUCGAUCUUCAUUUUUCACCCUCCUCCAUAACCUAGAUAUGUCCCUUCAUUCUCUCUCCUCUCCUCUUCAUUUUCGCCGUCAUGGGUUUUAGCUUGAUGAAGUGAGAUUGAUUGUCAAAGAGGAUAUUCUUUGCCGCUUUUUUUCAUUCACCCAAAUUUUUCGUCGACUAAUUUAUAAGGUUAGGGUUUGUCGUAAGCUUUUUCCGAUCAUCAAACAUGGCGGCAGAAAAGUUACAGAAUUUGAGUCAGCCUAUUGAUGUUCCUUUUGCUCGGCGCUACCGUUGCCGCUUUCUAUGGCACUGGAUCUAAAGAACAGUAAUCGAGCAAUGCUUUUGUUAAUUUAUUAUGUUAAUGGAUAUACAUUGGUGAUACAUCAGGUCAAUUAGAACUCUUUUUGGAUCUCCUGUAAUAAAAUCUCUUCUUUCCAUAAAUCCUAGCUCACAGAGCUUACAUGGUCCAACUCUCAUUGCUACUUCUGUGGCUUGUUGAGACGUGGAGAUUGAAAUCAUUGAUAGAUUGUUUUCUGCACUGUAUGUCUGUAUGUAGCGAUGGCAUUAAAAAUAAUGGCAACAUUUGGAGUGUCUGUAGAGCAUUGUGCUAGCUGCCUAGCUGGAACAGGCUCUUCAUCAGAGAUGGUCAGAAGUACAAGUUUCUCUUCUUUUAGUAUGCGUCGUGUAAAACUAUCCCAUUAGUAGACCUGAAAUGCAUAAAAAAAAUCUACCAGAUGAUCUGGAAAUGCACAUGUAAAGGAUGAUGCUUCAAGUGAUGGUUACUUACUAACAGGGGAUUGAGUCACUGGUGAUGUGGAAGAAUCAGUUUACAGGGCGUCAUAAAAUUUGUUGCGGUUCUUGAGAAGAUGGGUUGCAAGGUUACUGAACAAACUAUAGAGAACAAUGUCACUGUUACUGGAUCACUGGACCACCAACCACCCAUAGAUUUAUCUGGAAGAAAGCGUUUGCACGCCAUCGACGUCAACAUGAACACAAUGCCAGAUCUCCUAGGGACUUGUUUUUUGUCGCUCUUCAUGCAGAUGGCCCCACAGCCAUUAGAGACGUCGUUGCUAGCUGGAUUGCUGGGGAGUGAAGGAAGCGGAAGAAGAAACAAUUGCCAUGUGUAAAGAACACGGUCCUGAACCUUGUAGAAUUAGGUAAUUAUUCAAUAUAAACUGGUGUUUCUUAGUUUUGGAAUUCCUUUGCUUGGGGAAAUCGUUGAGGAAAGACUUGAGUACUGUGUGUUCAGUCCACCUGAGAUACUAGACGUGACCAUCUAUCAUCGACACAUGAUGAUCAUUGGAUGGCCAUGGCAUUCUCUUGCUGCCGAUGCAGCAGUGCUGAUGUUCUGAUCAUCAUCAAAGACCAGGGAUGUACAGGCAAUACCUUCGGGGAUCUCUAAACCUUAAAUGCGGAAGUUUUGUUUUGAGAAGAAAUCAAGAGAUUAAAGUGCUUCCUGCUUAAAUUAUCAUCACAUUCUUUGUAUUAUGUUCUUAAGAUAUUACUGUGUUUGUUGAUAGUAUAACUAGAAGUUCUACUAUGUAUUUAAUGAAUAGAGAUAAAUACUUGGGUGGCUGAAUUUUGAAGUUUGAACAUGUGAUGCUGACAACAUUCUUGUGGAUUUUGGAAGUCAUUUUUUUUAGUGUGAGGUACCGAGUUGCCUAUUGUUGUUUCAAGUUGCAUCCUCUGGCCUCUCCUAAAUAAAAAAAAUAAUGCCUCUUUUCUA